UUAAGUGAAUAAGGGCGCACGGUGGAUGCCUUGGCACUAGGAGCCGAUGAAGGACGGGACUAACACCGAUAUGCUUCGGGGAGCUGUAAGUAAGCUUUGAUCCGGAGAUUUCCGAAUGGGGAAACCCAACAUCUUUUAUAGGAUGUUACUUUUCAGUGAAUACAUAGCUGAUUAGAGGUAGACGCAGAGAACUGAAACAUCUAAGUACCUGCAGGAAGAGAAAGAAAAAUCGAUUCCCUGAGUAGCGGCGAGCGAAACGGGAAAAGCCCAAACCAAGAGGCUUGCCUCUUGGGGUUGUAGGACUCCGAUAUGGUAGUCCAGUGAGAUAGUCGAAGGACCUGGAAAGGUCUGCUAGAAAGGGUAAAAGCCCCGUAGACAAAAUUUGACUGGCACCUAGGAGGAUCCUGAGUACGGCGGAACACGAGGAAUUCCGUCGGAAUCCGGGAGGACCAUCUCCCAAGGCUAAAUACUCCCUAGUGACCGAUAGUGAACCAGUACCGUGAGGGAAAGGUGAAAAGCACCCCGGAAGGGGAGUGAAAUAGAUCCUGAAACCGUGUGCCUACAACAAGUUAGAGCCCGUUAAUGGGUGAUAGCGUGCCUUUUGUAGAAUGAACCGGCGAGUUACGAUUACUUGCGAGGUUAAGUUGAAAAGACGGAGCCGCAGCGAAAGCGAGUCUGAAUAGGGCGAAUGAGUAAGUGGUCGUAGACCCGAAACCAUGUGAUCUACCCAUGUCCAGGUUGAAGGUGCGGUAAAACGCACUGGAGGACCGAACCCACGUACGUUGAAAAGUGCGGGGAUGAGGUGUGGGUAGCGGAGAAAUUCCAAACGAACUUGGAGAUAGCUGGUUCUCUCCGAAAUAGCUUUAGGGCUAGCCUCAGAGUAAGAAUGAUGGAGGUAGAGCACUGUUUGGACUAGGGGCCCAUCUCGGGUUACCGAAUUCAGAUAAACUCCGAAUGCCAUCCAUUCAUCUCUGGGAGUCAGACUGUGAGUGAUAAGAUCCAUAGUCGAAAGGGAAACAGCCCAGACCACCAGCUAAGGUCCCCAAAUAACUAUUAAGUGGAAAAGGAUGUGGGGUUGCACAGACAACUAGGAUGUUGGCUUAGAAGCAGCCACCAUUUAAAGAGUGCGUAAUAGCUCACUAGUCGAGUGACCCUGCGCCGAAAAUGUACCGGGGCUAAAUAGUUUACCGAAGCUGUGGAACACACCAAUGGUGUGUUGGUAGGAGAGCGUUCUAAGGGCGUUGAAGGUAGAUCGUGAGGACUGCUGGAGCGCUUAGAAGUGAGAAUGCCGGUAUGAGUAGCGAAAGACAGGUGAGAAUCCUGUCCACCGAAUGACUAAGGUUUCCUGGGGAAGGCUCGUCCGCCCAGGGUUAGUCGGGACCUAAGCCGAGGCCGAAAGGCGUAGGCGAUGGAUAACAGGUUGAUAUUCCUGUACCCGUUGUUUUUGUUUGAGCAAUGGAGGGACGCAGGAGGCUAAGGAAUCAGACGAUUGGAAAUGUCUGUCCAAGCAAUGAGUCUUGAUGUGAGUCAAAUGCUUACAUCUCUAAGGACAAGUUGUGAUGGGGAGGGAAAUAAUAGUACCGAAGUUCCUGAUGUCACACUGCCGAGAAAAGCUUCUAGUGAGAAAACAAUGGCCCGUACCGCAAACCGACACAGGUAGUCGAGGAGAGAAUCCUAAGGUGAGCGAGAGAACUCUCGUUAAGGAACUCGGCAAAAUGACCCCGUAACUUCGGGAGAAGGGGUGCUGAUCUAACGAUCAGCCGCAGUGAAUAGGCCCAAGCGACUGUUUAUCAAAAACACAGGUCUCUGCAAAAUCGAAAGAUGACGUAUAGGGGCUGACGCCUGCCCGGUGCUGGAAGGUUAAGAGGAGUGCUUAGCGUAAGCGAAGGUACGAAUUGAAGCCCCAGUAAACGGCGGCCGUAACUAUAACGGUCCUAAGGUAGCGAAAUUCCUUGUCGGGUAAGUUCCGACCCGCACGAAAGGCGUAACGAUUUGGGCACUGUCUCAACGAGAGACUCGGUGAAAUUUUAGUACCUGUGAAGAUGCAGGUUACCCGCGACAGGACGGAAAGACCCCAUGGAGCUUUACUGCAGUUUGAUAUUGAGUGUUUGUACCACAUGUACAGGAUAGGUAGGAGCCGUAGAAGUCGGGACGCUAGUUUCGACAGAGGCGCUGGUGGGAUACUACCCUUGUGUUAUGACCACUCUAACCCGCACCACUAAUCGUGGUGGGAGACAGUGUCAGAUGGGCAGUUUGACUGGGGCGGUCGCCUCCUAAAGAGUAACGGAGGCGCCCAAAGGUUCCCUCAGAAUGGUUGGAAAUCAUUCGCAGAGUGUAAAGGCACAAGGGAGCUUGACUGCGAGACCUACAAGUCGAGCAGGGACGAAAGUCGGGCUUAGUGAUCCGGUGGUUCCGCAUGGAAGGGCCAUCGCUCAACGGAUAAAAGCUACCCUGGGGAUAACAGGCUUAUCUCCCCCAAGAGUCCACAUCGACGGGGAGGUUUGGCACCUCGAUGUCGGCUCG
rnacentral:rRNA from 1 species